GAGUUCCCGUACGAUCACUGAAGUUAAGUAACGUCGAGCCUGGUCAGUACCUAGAUGGGUAAACGCUUGGGAAUACCAGGUGCU